GACAGAGGGGGCAAGCGUUGCUCGGAAUCACUGGGCGUAAGGGCGCGUAGGCGGGAUGGCAAGUCGGUCGUGAAAUCCUUCGGCUCAACCGAAGAACGUCGGCCGAUACUGCCGUUCUUGAGGGAUGCAGAGGAGAUUGGAAUUCCCGGUGUAGCGGUGAAAUGUGUAGAGAUCGGGAGGAACACCGGUGGCGAAGGCGGGUCUCUGGGCAUCUCCUGACGCUGAGGCGCGAAAGCGUGGGGAGCAAACGGG
rnacentral:rRNA from 1 species